CUGUGAACGGAUAAGCCUUUACAGGGAAGAGCUGGAAGUCACAAAAUGCUGCCAGAGAAGCUUGCUUUCUGGGAGCUCUGCAGGGAGUUUUACCUAAUAAACAGCUUCUGUAAAAAAUUCUCACCCGAAUGAGGAGACCUGUAUCGGAAGUCCUCUUUGGUCAGGAGCAGCAGAGCCUUGCCGUUCAUCUCGAAAGUGUUGCUCUCGAUCGGCCUCAAGGAAAACUCCUUCUCCGCCCACCUGAGCCACUGUGCCACAUCAUCCCUGCUCCAGUAAACCGGCUGCAAACCUGUGGCAGGAAGAGACCGUGAUUGUGUUACCAAAUUGAGGCAAGGAAUGGGAAUGUGGCCUCCAUCUCCACGCAACACGAAGGAUCUUCAAGGCUCAGAGCUUGAGAAAUGCCUCUCCCUGCAGCUUCCCCAGUGGUCUGGUGGGUCCCAGAGCCUGCGAGCACCAAUGCACACACACUUCUGAUGACUCUGUUAAUCUCCACUAAAUCUGGUUCCUCAGACAUUCCUCAGGACAUUCUCUCUCUCGCUAUGGGGAUAAGGAGAGGAAGACAAAAUCAUUUGGGUUCUUCUUUUUGCAUGGCAGAAAGAUCACACUGUUUUUUUCAGUCUUUGCCUUCUUGCUUAAGUAAUGCUACUCGUGGUUAUCUUUUAAGCCUGGGAAGGAGUGACUUCAAUAAAGCAGCAUUAACACACUGGAUGCACCCUCAGGGUGUGCACCCAAUCCAGAGUUAACACUUCUCCUCAAUUCCAUUCAUCUGACUGUAACCUCUGGCUGCCUCUGGACAACUGAGGCAGAGUCAAACCCUAGCUAGGAAAAAUCCUCAUGAACAUGUCGUGACCAUUAAUUCAAUCCACCCAGCUGAAUGUUAACCAAGUGACCAGUUAAUGCCUGCUCAAAGUUUUGAAAAUACUGGCUUGGAAAGCAUGUCUGCAUCUCCUGUGAAAAUCAGUGGUAAUUGGUAAUCUUAAAAAUUUAGCUGCAGUGCUAAGAGUAGUAUGCAAGGCACCAAAAGGGAGAGGAAAGUUUCUCAGAACAUCAGAAGGCUCAUAUUGCUAAUUUUGAACCUAAUGGCUUCCAUUUGUGUUAAAUACCAAAACACUUCAUGAAUCCUGACACAUUUUUGUGUUUGGAAAAAUCUGUGUAAGAUUAGAUGCUGCUUUCCUGUGUUUCCCUUUGGCUCAACCAACUGUGAGCGUGUAUUUAAUCAUAAGAGGUAAGAGAAAGAGAGCAGCACACCUUGACCAGGCAGGCUGACUUGGGCUGAACAGCAGGAAGAGUUUCUUCUUCCCUUCUCACUUCAGAAUGGGAGUCAGGAUGGAGGGACACCAGUGCCUUCGAAGAAAUCAGGGACUACUUCUGUACUCCUGUCAAAGCCUAGUGGUUUCUUUGCUCCCUUUGCUUGCUAGAACCCACAUGAAAUUGUAAAAAUGGUACUGGGAUACCAUCAGGGUGCUUAUCCUGUUCAGGAUUCUUUUCAUAUCUCUGCCAACCUCUUAAAAAGACAUAAAAGAGGAGACAAUUUUUAAUCUCCUUUCACAGUAUGGUUGCCAACAUGGCAGGCUAAAACUGCAUGGUAUGAGCAUUCAGUAUGUCCAUAGCUGCUAUUCCCUAAUUGGCAGGCAUGGUGGGGAGGCCUUUUGCUUGCCCUGAUAAGGUCAUUUGCAUAACUCUACCCCAGUGGCUUUGCAUGUAUUUUUUCCCCUCUUCUUUGCAUGUAUCUUUUCCCCUCAUAAGUUCUCAGGCAUUUCUCCAUAUGUCAGAGAAGCACUAUGAAAACCUUAUCUGUAGUUAAUCACAAUAUUCAUUCUAUUAUACACUUACUAACUUAUUUUUAUUUCUUGUACAGAAAUACAU